AACGCUGCCUCCCCUUUUCUUUGCCUGAAAACCUCUCCCUUAUUAUAUACAAAGAGAGAGAGCUCUUCCAUCGGAAAUCGACCGGUCCUUCUUGUCGUGGGCGCCACCACCUCCCCCUCCUUUCCCUCCCUGCUCCCUCCCCACAUAUAUACUAUUCUCCCUCUCUUCCUCUCCCUUUUCUCUCUCUACCUCCCUUCCUUUCUUUUUCCCUGUCCCUUCCUCCAUUCCUCUCUGGCCUGUAAUGAUUUCUGUGCUGCUGCUAUCACUAUCUGAGAAUCCAAAGGGAAGCUCGGAAAUGUUUUCUGCUAUAUGAGAAUAUAGAGAUCAGAGAGAGAGAGAGAGAGAGG
rnacentral:lncRNA from 1 species